UACGAAGGGUGCAAGCGUUACUCGGAAUUACUGGGCGUAAAGCGUGCGUAGGUGGUUCGUUAAGUCUGAUGUGAAAGCCCUGGGCUCAACCUGGGAAUGGCAUUGGAUACUGGCGAUCUGGAGUGCGGUAGAGGGUAGCGGAAUUCCCGGUGUAGCAGUGAAAUGCGUAGAUAUCGGGAGGAACAUCCGUGGCGAAGGCGGCUACCUGGACCAGCACUGACACUGAGGCACGAAAGCGUGGGGAGCAAAC
rnacentral:rRNA from 1 species